rnacentral:lncRNA from 1 species
UCUAGUGACUAUAAAGGAAAAUAAGACAUAACUAUAACUCAGCUAGAUGAGUUCUAGCAAAACCGUAGUUGUAAACGGGCUUGCCUUCAGCAGUUCGAAAAUACAAAAAGCCAGUGCACAGAAUAAACAGUCAUCAGGUUAACUGAAUGUAACUUGUUAGCCAUCAGGUUAACUGAAUGUACUACUAACUUAUUAGCAUUCAGAGUGUAGCCAGUAAUACAGCACUAUCUCAGUUCGCAAGCAACGGAAACCAAAUUUGAUGCUAAUGGUACCAGCUCCUAGUUUUCAGAAGAAGAAAAUGACGGGGGG